rnacentral:rRNA from 1 species
UACGUAGGCAGCGAGCGUUGUUCGGAGUUACUGGGCGUAAAGGGUGUGUAGGCGGUCCUCUAAGUUUGGUGUGAAAUCUCCCGGCUCAACCGGGAGGGUGCGCCGAAAACUGGGGGGCUAGAGUGCGGGAUGGGUAAGUGGAAUUCCUGGUGUAGCGGUGAAAUGCGUAGAUAUCAGGAGGAACACCUGUGGUGUAGACGGCUUACUGGACCGCAACUGACGCUGAGACACGAAAGCGUGGGUAGCAAACAUG